GACGAACGCUGGAGGCGUGCUUAACACAUGCAAGUCGAACGAAGUGGCGAACGGGUGAGUAAUACGUGAGUAACCUGCCCUCCUUUUUGGGAUAAGCCUUGGAAACGGGGUCUAAUAACGAAUAAAGGGGGAUGGGCUCGCGGCCUAUCAGCUUGUUGGUGGGGUGAUGGCCUACCAAGGCGGUGACGGGUAGCCGGCCUGAGAGGGUGACCGGCCACAUUGGGACUGAGAUACGGCCCAGACUCCUACGGGAGGCAGCAGGGGGGGAUAAUGCGCAAUGGGGGAAACCCUGACGCAGCAACGCCGCGUGGAGGAUGACACUUUUCGGAGCGUAAACUCCUUUUAUCAGGAAGGCGGUACCUGAUGAAUAAGCACCGGCUAACUCCGUGCCAGCAGCCGCGGUAAUAC
rnacentral:rRNA from 1 species